rnacentral:rRNA from 1 species
GAGUCUUAACCGGGCGUUAAGUUGCAGGGUAUAGACCCGAAACCCGGUGAUCUAGCCAUGGGCAGGUUGAAGGUUGGGUAACACUAACUGGAGGACCGAACCGACUAAUGUUGAAAAAUUAGCGGAUGACCUGUGGCUGGGGGUGAAAGGCCAAUCAAACCGGGAGAUAGCUGGUUCUCCCCGAAAGCUAUUUAGGUAGCGCCUCGUGAAUUCAUCUCCGGGGGUAGAGCACUGUUUCGGCUAGGGGGCCAUCCCGGCUUACCAACCCGAUGCAAACUGCGAAUACCGGAGAAUGUUAUCACGGGAGACACACGGCGGGUGCUAACGUCCGUCGUGAAGAGGGAAACAACCCAGACCGCCAGCUAAGGUCCCAAAGUCAUGGUUAAGUGGGAAACGAUGUGGGAAGGCCCAGACAGCCAGGAUGUUGGCUUAGAAGCAGCCAUCAUUUAAAGAAAGCGUAAUAGCUCACUGGUCGAGUCGGCCUGCGCGGAAGAUGUAACGGGGCUAAACCAUGCACCGAAGCUGCGGCAGCGACGCUGAUGCGUUGUUGGGUAGGGGAGCGUUCUGUAAGCCUGCGAAGGUGGCCUGUGAGGGUUGCUGGAGGUAUCAGAAGUGCGAAUGCUGACAUAAGUAACGAUAAAGCGGGUGAAAAGCCCGCUCGCCGGAAGACCAAGGGUUCCUGUCCAACGUUAAUCGGGGCAGGGUGAGUCGACCCCUAAGGCGAGGCCGAAAGGCGUAGUCGAUGGGAAACGGGUUAAUAUUCCCGUACUUGGUGUUACUGCGAAGGGGGGACGGAGAAGGCUAUGUUGGCCGGGCGACGGUUGUCCCGGUUUAAGCGUGUAGGUGUGUGUUCCAGGUAAAUCCGGUUCACUUUAACACUGAGGCGUGACGACGAGGCACUACGGUGCUGAAGCAACAAAUGCCCUGCUUCCAGGAAAAGCCUCUAAGCAUCAGGUAACAUCAAAUCGUACCCCAAACCGACACAGGUGGUCAGGUAGAGAAUACCAAGGCGCUUGAGAGAACUCGGGUGAAGGAACUAGGCAAAAUGGUGCCGUAACUUCGGGAGAAGGCACGCUGACACGUAGGUGAAGUGAUUUACUCA